rnacentral:rRNA from 1 species
GACGAACGCUGGCGGCGUGCUUAACACAUGCAAGUCGAACGAAGUGGCGAACGGGUGAGUAACGCGUAAUCAACCUGCCCUUCAGAGGGGGACACCAGUUGGAAACGACUGCUAAUCCCGCAUACUGAAGGAGGGGAUUGCGUCUGAUUAGCCAGUUGGAGGGGUAACGGCCCACCAAGGCGGUGAUCAGUCGCCGGGCUGGGAGGAUGAACGGCCACAUUGGGACUGAGACACGGCCCAGACGCCUACGGGAGGCAGGAGUGGGGAAUCGUCCGCAAUGGACGAAAGUCUGACGGAGCAACGCCGCGGUAGUGAUGACGGCCUUCGGGUUGUAAAGCUCUGUUAAUCGGGACGCGGUACCGGAAUAGAAAGCCACGGCUAACUACGUGCCAGCAGCCGCGGUAAUUC